UACGUAGGGUGCGAGCGUUGUCCGGAAUGUACUGGGCGUAAAGAGCUCGUAGGUGGUUUGUUCGCGUUGUUCGUGAAAACUCAACAACUCAAUUGUGGGCGUGCGGGCGAUACGGGCAGACUGGAGUGACUGCAGGGGAGACUGGAAUUCCUGGUGGUAGCGGUGAAAUGCGCAGAUAUCAGGAGAACACCGAUGGCGAAGGCGGCCAUCUGGACCAGCACUGACGUGAGGCACGAAAGCGUGGGGAGCAACAGG
rnacentral:rRNA from 1 species